UGUCUUUCAAACAAUGUGCAACCAACUUUACAGAUAAAUUUGACAUCUAAAAAUCUCAGCAGACUUUGAACAAAAAAAAAGAAUUCUCAGUAAACAAGUAUUUCUACCUCUUUUUUAACCACGUAUAAUUUUGAGUUUUCCUACAUGAUUUAUCCCUUCUAAUGACUGACUGCGUUUUUAUUAUUCCUUUUUAAAUUGUUUUGUCUUUACAAAAAGCUAUGCUAUUUCUGUUCUAAUUUUAUUUUCUGAUUACAUCGUCACUUUUAAUUUUCUUUACAUUUAAAAACCGUAGUGUGCUCCAUCUUCUCUCUUGAUUUCCGACUAAGCUUGUGCAAUCUGACCGACGUCGGCGGAUUUCCUUAGCCACGACGUCAGUCGAACUUUUUGUUUUGAUGAUCCUUGUUCCGAUGUUUUCUCCGGUUCCGGUGUUAUCCGAUCGGCUUUGAUUCCAGCAACAUGCCUUACCUUCGGUGGUCGUUUGGCUUUUGUCUAUGCGUCUUUGCUUUCUUCUCCGGUGAUGGGCGGCCGGUUUUGAUUCUGAUUUACAUCAUGUUUCCUGUUUUGUGUGACUCUCGUGUCUUCGAUUGAUGGCUUCGUUCUUCGGAUGAUAUCUCGACCCGAGUUGAUUGAAGCUCUUCGUUGAAGGGGCUCAUGCGGUGAAGAAGUAAAAGGUGGUUUGUGGAUUUUAAAUUCAUCAGUGGUGAUUAGGGUGGCUUUGAAUGAGAUCUCGAGAUAGUUCGAUGGACGCUCUUCUUUGGAAAGAACUCAGGCGAAAAAUAUGUGUGAGGUGGCUUGGCUCCAGUGUGUUCCAGAAAAACACGAUUUCGUUUUGACUCGUAGGCUUAGGUAAGAUGGGGUGGCUUUGUGACGCGUGUUUCUUUGUUGGUGAGGGUUUUAAUACGUGUACGUCCAUGCGAAAUUCUCGACGUGUGGUAACGUGUGGCGCCAAUCGGGUCUUGUAUGUUUGAGCUUAAAACUCAAGUGGUAUCUUUAGUAUUGCCUUUUGUUUGGGUUUUAUGUAAAACAUUUUGGGCUUUUACUUUGGGUUUUUACCCAUUAAUAAAUAAUAGAUGGCAAAAAAAAAAAAUUUCCUUUACGUGUUUUCAGUUUUGUUGUAUGGCUCCUUCCUUUUUUUUGUGCAACAUAAAAACUUUGUUAAAAAGUUUAAAGAGGUUCAAUAAAUGGGAUUACAAGAGACUUGUGUGCCAGUGCUUUAGCCAUGAUUAGAGGUAUACAUAUCAUUUAACAAAGUUUUUAUGUUGUGUGAAGCAAGGCUCCUCUAAUCGCCAGUGCUUUAGCCAUGAUCGGUGAGGAGACUUGAUCUAGCGAAAUCGAUUUGUGAUGAAGCUCGGUUUCAAAGUGAUCAGAGAAAAUCCAGGCUAGGCCUACUGAACCAGACUUCCAAGACGCAUCAGUGUUGCAAUAAGUGAAUUGUGCAGAGGUCACCAGAGAUCGAGGCAAGCGAGUUAAAGGUGGCAUCUUUAAGGCAGCUAGAGGUUGAUUGGUUUAGGCUUUUCCCAUUCAUUCAUUGCACAGAUAGCCUGAAGCAGAAUUUCUUGAGGGGUAGAUAAUCGGUUCUCAAAUAGGAGUUUAUUUCUUGAGAUCCAGAGAUUCCAGCAAAUUCAAAGGAACAAGUCACCUACGACGCCCACUGAAGGUAGCAUUUUCCAGAGAAAAAUUUCAGUUUUAGCAGAAGAGGCGGAUUAUUUACUUAAUGUUUAAAUCAUGUAAAUUCAAUAUUAUUAAUUAUAUGUAAUUGAUGCCCGAAUAUAAGUUUUUUUUAAUUUCCCAUUUUGUAACAUUUAUUUCCCCGAAUAUAAGUUUUUUAUCCUCACAUGAUGGUAAUCAUUUGUUAAAUUAUAUAUAUACUGGUAUAC
rnacentral:lncRNA from 1 species